rnacentral:tRNA from 1 species
GCCGCCGUAGCUCAGUGGUAGAGCAUCGGACGCGUUAUUCGAAGGUCGCAGGUUCGAUCCCUGCUGGUGGCA